rnacentral:rRNA from 1 species
AACGAACGCUGGCGGCAUGCCUAACACAUGCAAGUCGAACGAGACCUUCGGGUCUAGUGGCGCACGGGUGCGUAACGCGUGGGAAUCUGCCCUUGGGUUCGGAAUAACAGUUAGAAAUGACUGCUAAUACCGGAUGAUGACUUCGGUCCAAAGAUUUAUCGCCCAAGGAUGAGCCCGCGUAGGAUUAGCUAGUUGGUAGGGGAAAGGCCUACCAAGGCGACGAUCCUUAGCUGGUCUGAGAGGAUGAUCAGCCACACUGGGACUGAGACACGGCCCAGACUCCUACGGGAGGCAGCAGUGGGGAAUAUUGGACAAUGGGCGAAAGCCUGAUCCAGCAAUGCCGCGUGGGUGAUGAAGGCCCUAGGGUUGUAAAGCUCUUUUACCCGGGAUGAUAAUGACAGUACCGGGAGAAUAAGCCCCGGCUAACUCCGUGCCAGCCGCCGCGGUAACAC